UAAAGGCACAGUCCGCAGGAUGACGCCAUCAGGGUGAGGAGGAGGAGAUUUUUAAAUUCGAACGGCUGUUGCUCACUCCCCCGCCCUUCCUGAAAGAGCCGAAAGCCACACCUCCCAAUGUGCACGCGCAGGAAAAGCAGAGUCAACAUCGGAGCAUUGCUUCUUGUAAUAGAGCUGAGCUAGUGUUAGCAAUGGAGUUAUCUGAGAGUUCAGUGAUUGAGGAAUCCGCUGAGGAAGAGUUUGAACCUCCUAUUGCAUCCUCAAGACGUGGUGCAAAAAGGAGAUGCCCACCAUCAUCUCAAAGCCGUGGUGCAUCCAGAGGCCGAAGAAGUGUGAGACACUCAGCUGUGGACCUUGGAGAUGAAGAUCUCUCUCGAGUUCGGAAUCUUUGUUCCGAGCGAAUAGACUUUGAACGUGUAAGCAUAACAACAUUACACUAAAUUAUCCUAAAAACUGUUGCUGUAGCAUCUCUUUCCACUUUUGUAGCAACACAUACAGAACCUCAACCCUCAGCAGGCUAUUGGCAUCCUUACCAUGGUGCUGGACAGACACUGGUGUUCUCUUUGAUGUACUUGCCCUCUCUGGUCCACCUGCCACAACACCUCCAACACCCAAUCAACCUUCAUGGUGUGUAUGCUCCCACUGCAGAGAUAUGCCAACUGAUUUGGAAAAGAAAUGCUGCCAACAGCCUCCCCAGACAUGUAUUUCAACUGUACCACACAUGGAGGAGUUUAUUCUGCAAAAUUCCCUGACCCCAAUGGUAACUACACUGGUUUUAUUCCAAGACGAUUGUAAAUAAAUGUAUAUAUUUGAUAUUUUACAUAAGUUUGUUUUUAUAUAUUUUUGUUUGAUGCUCUAAUAAAGUGUUCUAAAGCACAA